AUCCUUCGGUCAAGGAUCAGAGGUUUAUCACGAGCUUUGGGAACGGCGCAAAGUAACCGCGUGUGGGUAAUUUAUCGCUGACUUAAUGACUCGCCUCUCCCGCCACCGGCGGUCAACCUGCGGCGUGUUACACCUGAAGGCACCGGCGCACCGUUCGCCCGGAUCACUCUGCUCAACUCGAGGCGACGUCUUAGUGUCCGAUAAACUUUUAAUGCGGCAAGAAACCGCCUCAUCCCGUGCUCGUAUAUACCUGGCUGUGCGACGACGACGUUUCUUUCCUGCUACUCCCUAUUCGUCCCUUCGAUAUACGACGGCUGAGUUCUGUCGCGAGAUACGUGCGUGCAUCGAAUUAUCGAUUUUUCAAGAAUCGCGAAAGGAAGCGAGUUCGGCAUUCGUGAAAAUUUCUUACGUUUCUUCAAUUGCCACGAAGGUCGUCAUCGAGUCAAUCAUCGCCAUUGAGCGACUCAGCUGACUGGAUAUAAAUUCUUAAGAUUGUUACCCACAGCCGAAAAAGCUCGAAAGAGAUACCGAGGAUCGAUGAUGCGGAUAAGGCUGCUUUCCUGCCUCCUCAUUCUCUCGGUGUUUCUCGCAUACGGUAACUGCGCACCGCGUCGCCUCAGUACGGAUUUCGUCUACUUUCCCGACCAAAUAGAUUACAUCCGAGUUUCGUCCCAAUGUCCCGGUGGUCUCGUGUACUGGCCGCCGAAUGGUCGAUGCUACAAAGAAGGUCAGCAAGGGCCCUGCAACGUUGGCCGCGUCUUGGUUUUCAAUCGAAAGGAAUACCGACCCUUCUGCCGGAACGUCGGAUAACCUUCAUCCACGGAGCUUCUACCUUGUCUUCGCAUGUUACGAUAUCAGAAUCAGAAGGCAACAAUAGGCGGGGACAGCGACAGGUGGGGUCGAAUGUAAGAGUGAAAAAUUUGAAGAGGUUUCAAAUUAUCGAGCCCACAGGGAGCCACGUCGAACGGAGCAAAUUGUCAGACCUGAAAUUGAACAUUCGAACGCUGCUUACAGAGAUCUGCAAUUGACGUUUUUGUCCAAUUUAUGUGAACUAUAGGGCUAAUGUUGACUGUAUGAGUUAUCGUUUAUUGUGUUUGUGUAUUAAUAAAAAUUUUCCGGUCUAU
rnacentral:lncRNA from 1 species